rnacentral:rRNA from 1 species
CAGUCGCCGCGGGAAUACAGAGGGUGCGAGCGUUAAUCGGAUUUACUGGGCGUAAAGCGUUCGUAGGCGGCUUCUUAAGUCGGAUGUGAAAUCCCUGAGCUUAACUUAGGAAUUGCAUUUGAUACUGGGAAGCUAGAGUAUGGGAGAGGAUGGUAGAAUUCCAGGUGUAGCGGUGAAAUGCGUAGAGAUCUGGAGGAAUACCGAUGGCGAAGGCAGCCAUCUGGCCUAAUACUGACGCUGAGGUACGAAAGCAUGGGGAGCAAACAGGAUUAGAUACCCCAGUAGUCCCUGUCUCUUAUAC